GCGUAUGUAGUUUAGCGGUAAAAUUCGACGUUGCCAUCGUCGGGCCCCCGGUUCGACUCCGGGCAUACGCA
rfam:Pichia pastoris GS115 chromosome 1, complete sequence